ensembl:snRNA U6 U6 spliceosomal RNA
GUGCUCACUUUAGCAGCACAUAUACUAAAAUUGGCAUGACAUAGAGAAGAGCAUGCUCUUUGUGAAAGGAUAACACACAAACUCUAAAGCAUUCCAUAUUUUA